rnacentral:rRNA from 1 species
AGCGAACGCUGGCGGCAGGCCUAACACAUGCAAGUCGAACGAAGCCUUCGGGCUUAGUGGCGGACGGGUGAGUAACACAUGGGAACGUACCUUUUGGUUCGGAACAACUCAGGGAAACUUGAGCUAAUACCGGAUGAGCCCUUAGGGGGAAAGAUUUAUCGCCGAAAGAGCGGCCCGCGUUAGAUUAGCUAGUUGGUGAGGUAAAGGCUCACCAAGGCAACGAUCUAUAGCUGGUCUGAGAGGAUGAUCAGCCACACUGGGACUGAGACACGGCCCAGACUCCUACGGGAGGCAGCAGUGGGGAAUCUUGCGCAAUGGGCGAAAGCCUGACGCAGCCAUGCCGCGUGAGUGAUGAAGGUCUUAGGAUUGUAAAAUUCUUUUACCAGGGACGAUAAUGACGGUACCUGGAGAAAAAGCCCCGGCUAACUUCGUGCCAGCCGCCGCGGUAACAC